rnacentral:lncRNA from 1 species
UCAAUCCCAAAAUUUCAAUGAGAAAGACAUCACGUGCGAGAUGUCCUUUCCGAAACCGUGAUUCCGCGGUCCGCACAAUCGUAAUUCCGUGCCGAUCGUGAUAUUGGAAUCACGAUUCCGCACGGGUUGUGCCGGUCGCAAUGACGGAACCACGAUUCCGUAGACGACGAACCUCGCGAUUUACCUCCACUCGAGACGGACGAUGAAAUCGAAUGAGGUGGGACGUGGACGGUGAGAUCGGAUGUUCGCACCGAGUUAUGAUGCAAACAUACCCUAUAUAUCUAUUUUUAUUUCUUGCACAGUUGCACCUGCUAUUUCUUUGUACAUCUUUUUCUUGCAGUUCUGCUUAUACUUCUUCCCGACCCAACAGACCGAGACCAUCAGACUCAACCUGGCUAAAUAAGUCCAUACAAGCCCAAUAGUGUUAUUGUAUAAAUAAAAUGAUAGAUGAAAUCUUUUAUAAUUGUAAAAAAUACUACCUUUUCUUCUUCCACUUUUACUUAUGCAUGCAGUUCUAACCGUUGCUAUUUCGUUUUACAUCUUCUGUUUCUAUGUAACAAUUGGGCUAGAUCUUGACGAGGUGGUGCACCGACUUAUGAGGUGGGGACCAUGAACCCAACGUGGAGCAACCACAAGGACGAGAGACAAGGCUAAGAAAGGAGAAGAUUCUAUACUUUAUAUAUUUAUUAGUUGGAAUUAGGGUAGUG